GGAGAGGUGGCCGAGCGGCCGAAGGCGGCGGCUUGCUAAGCCGUUGUACCCCGUUGAGGGGUACCGUGGGUUCGAAUCCCACCCUCUCCG
rnacentral:tRNA from 1 species